rnacentral:rRNA from 1 species
GAUGAACGCUGGCGGCGUGCCUAAUACAUGCAAGUCGAGCGAAUGGAUUAAGAGCUUGCUCUUAUGAAGUUAGCGGCGGACGGGUGAGUAACACGUGGGUAACCUGCCCACAAGACUGGGAUAACUCCGGGAAACCGGGGCUAAUACCGGAUAAUAUUUUGAACUGCAUGGUUCAAAAUUGAAAGGCGGCUUCGGCUGUCACUUAUGGAUCGACCCGCGUCGCAUUAGCUAGUUGGUGAGGUAACGGCUCCCCAAGGCAACGAUGCGUAGCCGACCUGAGAGGGUGAUCGGCCACACUGGGACUGAGACACGGCCCAGACUCCUACGGGAGGCAGCAGUAGGGAAUCUUCCGCAAUGGACGAAAGUCUGACGGAGCAACGCCGCGUGAGUGAUGAAGGCUUUCGGGUCGUAAAACUCUGCUGUUAGGGAAGAACAAGUGCUAGUUGAAUAAGCUGGCACCUUGACGGUACCUAACCAGAAAGCCACGGCUAACUACGUGCCAGCCGCCGCGGUAA